rnacentral:misc_RNA from 1 species
UUAACUAUUAUAUAGUACUCAGACGACACUAACAUUCAGAGUUUGGGGUCCUCUGGCGGGCGCGCACCAGCCGGAGCCGGUGGCCGAGGGCGGCCCGCCAAAGCAACAAAGGUACAAAGACACAGGGUGGGAGAUCUACCCCGGGGGGCAUGAUGCUCUGUAAUGAUCCCUCCGCAGGUUCACCUACGGAGA